AACGAACGCUGGCGGCGUGCCUAACACAUGCAAGUCGAACGGAAUUGAGGGGCUUGCUCUUCAAUUUAGUGGCGCACGGGUGAGUAACGCGUAGAUAAUCUGCCUGAUGAUCUGGGAUAACAUUUCGAAAGGGGUGCUAAUACCGGAUAAGCCCACGACGGCCUUGGUCGUUGCGGGAAAAGGGGGGACCUUUCGGGCCUUCUGUCAUCAGAUGAGUCUGCGUACCAUUAGCUAGUUGGUAGGGUAAUGGCCUACCAAGGCUACGAUGGUUAGCUGGUCUGAGAGGAUGAUCAGCCACACUGGAACUGAGACACGGUCCAGACUCCUACGGGAGGCAG
rnacentral:rRNA from 1 species